GGCUAGAGUUUGAUCAUGGCUCAGGAUAAACGCUGGCGGCGCACAUAAGACAUGCAAGUCGAACGGACUUAACCAUUAGUUUACUAUUGGAGCGGUUAGUGGCGGACUGGUGAGUAACACGUAAGCAACCUGCCUAUCAGAGGGGAACAACAGUUAGAAAUGACUGCUAAUACCGCAUAUGCCUAAGUACCACAUGGUACAAUAGGGAAAGGAGCAAUCCGCUGAUAGAUGGGCUUGCGUCUGAUUAGCUAGUUGGUGGGGUAAAGGCCUACCAAGGCGACGAUCAGUAGCCGGACUGAGAGGUUGAACGGCCACAUUGGGACUGAGAUACGGCCCAGACUCCUACGGGAGGCAGCAGUCGGGAAUAUUGCGCAAUGGAGGAAACUCUGACGCAGUGACGCCGCGUGCAGGAAGAAGGUUUUCGGAUUGUAAACUGCUUUAGACAGGGAAGAAAAAGGACAGUACCUGUAGAAUAAGCUCCGGCUAACUACGUGCCAGCAGCCGCGGUAAUACGUAGGGAGCGAGCGUUAUCCGGAUUUAUUGGGUGUAAAGGGUGCGUAGACGGGAAAAUAAGUUAGUUGUGAAAUCCCUCGGCUUAACUGAGGAACUGCAACUAAAACUGUUAUUCUUGAGUACUGGAGAGGAAAGUGGAAUUCCUAGUGUAGCGGUGAAAUGCGUAGAUAUUAGGAGGAACACCAGUGGCGAAGGCGACUUUCUGGACAGAAACUGACGUUGAGGCACGAAAGUGUGGGGAGCAAACAGGAUUAGAUACCCUGGUAGUCCACACCCGUAACGAUGGAUACUANGUGUAGGGUANUAUAAAUACUCUGUGCCGUCGCAAACGCAGUAAGUAUCCCACCUGGGGAGUACGGCCG
rnacentral:rRNA from 1 species